rnacentral:rRNA from 1 species
GUCCAGACUCCUACGGGAGGCAGCAGUGGGGGAUAUUGCACAAUGGGGGAAACCCUGAUGCAGCGACGCCGCGUGUGGGAAGACGGUCCUCUGGAUUGUAAACCACUGUCCCCAGGGACGAAAAUGACGGUACCUGGGGAGGAAGCUCCGGCUAACUACGUGCCAGCAGCCGCGGUAAUACGUAGGGGGCAAGCGUUAUCCGGAUUUACUGGGUGUAAAGGGGGCGCAGACGGCGAUGCAAGCCAGGAGUGAAAGCCCGGGGCCCAACCCCGGGACUGCUCUUGGAACUGCGUGGCUGGAGUGCAGGAGGGGCAGGCGGAAUUCCUGGUGUAGCGGUGAAAUGCGUAGAUAUCAGGAGGAACACCGGUGGCGAAGGCGGCUUACUGGACUGUAACUGACGUUGAGGCUCGAAAGCGUGGGGAGCAAACAGGAUUAGAUACCCCGGUA